AAUUGUCUCCCUUUCGCUGCCUGCUUCGAUUCAAUGUAUGCUGUGAUUAGUGGAUAGUACUCCAAAUCUAAAAUCCCAUGUCUUUGCUAACUCAUCUAGCCCUUUGGUCAGUUUUAUGCUGUCUGUAUCUAUCUUCUUAUGUCACGUAUAUUAAAAUUCAUUCCCAGGUUAUAGUUAUUGCUAGAUUAGCUAUAUGGUUGAUGCAUUAAAAAUAUAUACUGCACAAGCCUGGUUAGUCCCAGUGGGUCCUUGCCCAGAUUGUCAUGUAUUUAUGGCAGAGCCAUGCUUGUCUUCUCAUGUCACUGCAAUUCUUGCAGAAACAUAUCCUCUUCUAUUCUUCUCUUUCUACCUUUCAAGAAUUUCCUUGCUGAGUGUUCGUUGUUCUGGGCUCUUUUUAUGCAGGUUAAUCUGCAGGUGAAACUCACUUCUCAGUUUCUGUUCUCUUGUUUACCUAAUCGGCUCAAUUCUCUGACUAGAUAUGUAGGCUUCUUGAUUUCUUGGAGUUUACAGGCUAUCCUGCAAAUUUGUUCACUCUGUAUUUCAGUGUUCAGGAUGAAAACGGACAUUCUUGUUCCAUCAAUUUUUGUUGUUCAAACAUGAGAAUUCUUCAAUCAGUUUUCUUUUUACCAUACACUCUUCAGUCAUUCUGAUGUCUUGGCUUUGUAUGAAUCUGCAAACUUGGCUGCAAAUUACUACUCUUUAUUUUUGUAGCUCUCAUAGAAAGAGUGAAGUUACUGACUUUUUAGUGUCACCAUGCAAUACCUGCUUGGUCUCUUGAAACCUACUGAUUAAUUUCUUUCUCAGGUAGCUACCAAUAUUUUGUUUUGUAUGUCUAAAGAUCUCAAUUCCGAAUGUGAGAGGCUAUAAAUAAUAGCAAUGGGUUGCUUCUCUGUGUCCCGGAGGAAGAAGAAUUCCAUAAGCCAGAUUGUGCAGCAUGACCAAGACAUCCUGAUCACUGGCAACGUGAAAAUCUACUCGUUCAAGGAGCUAAGAAAAGCCACAAGAAAAUAUUGACUUCUGCCUGCAGCUACAAUUAUGAGAAAAAAUCUUGAACUAUCGACGAUGUGUUGUGAAGUCCCAGACUUGUCCGCCUCCAAGGAUCUAACACGAACGCAGUGUGCAGAGCACCUCCGUCGAGAUUCCGGCAGCAGGACGUCAUGUUGCAGACUUCCAGGCGCCGAGGUAGAUUUCUAACUGGUUCAGUGUGGUUUCCAAUUGUUGUAAGACUGUACCAGCUGUUGUUCAUUCGUUUGGGCUCUUGGAUAAGAUGGAUUCAGGAAAUCGUUAUCUUCUUGGUAUUUAUUUUUGUUGACUACUAAUUCAAGUUUGCAGUAAAGAGUGGGUCGAGAAGUGUAGAUCCCAUAGUUUUCUGCUGAAGGAUGCUUGUUCUUCAUAUAAGAACUAGAUGUUGUUUGUUGGCUGAGAGAUACCUGUUCAGAUAACUAGAGCUUUAAUUCCAUUUUGCUAAUAAACUAAUUGAUGACUUUUCUUUGUGAGUAUGACUAGAUGAGUUCCUGUUCCGUAUUCAGAUAUGCAACUUAUUUUUGUUCAGAGAUGUAAAUGUUCACAUAUGCAUGCUUCUUAGUUGUUAGUGCCUGAUAUGGAUUCAUCCGAAAGAUGCUGAAUUGCUGAUCUGAUUUGCUAAUCCAAUUUUGGUGCUAGGUGAAGACCUGCUUUGAUUUGAUAGCCUGAUAUGACUUAAUAUGUUUUGAUCGAUGUACUUUCCUGAUUAUUCUAGAUGUUCUGAACCUUUGGCCCCUCUAUAGUCUAUACAUUUUGUUUCGUAAAUAUUGAUACUAGUUUGCCUGAUCAAUGCCUUGUUCUAUGUGAAAUGUGGUAUGCCCGAUUGGUUUCGUCUUUCGUGUUUAAUCCCUGGUGUUGUGAGUUGCUUUCUCUUGCACUUCUGCUGAUUUAGACUGAUUGUUGACAAAUUCCUAAGUCUGCAGCCAGUUCGUGCACCUGAGUAUACCCUGUCUAUGAGGUUUGUUGCAACACUAUUCCAAUCUACUUAAUAAUAAUUUUGCUCUUAUGUAAUAUACGUACAGGUUGUCUUUAAUCUGCAUUCCUAUACUAAUAAUUCUUAACUCUUAUGCAGAUUGCAAUAUGCAUGCUGGUAACCUGCACGUGAGAUGGUUGAUUGGCUAGAUAGUUUCUGAUUUCCUUUUUGUUUAUUGUUCUGCCAAAUUGUAAAAAUAGGAGCAAAAUGCAUUGAGUUUUUAUGAACUCUUAUCGUGUGCUCGGUUUAAAUAUGGUGAAUGGAAUUGCAAAAUGUACUCAGUUUUAGAUUGAAAUUGAGAUCAAUCUAUCACAAAAUCACAUUCAAUUUGUAUUUUCA